rnacentral:pre_miRNA from 1 species
GGAUGUCGGUGUAUACGUCGGGGAGGGGGCCGCGGUUAGAAUUGCAGGCAGAUGGGUCUAACCGCGGCCCCCUCCCCGACGUAUACACCGACAUCC